rnacentral:rRNA from 1 species
AUUGAACGCUGGCGGAAUGCUUUACACAUGCAAGUCGGGCGGCAGCGCGGGGGCAACCCUGGCGGCGAGCGGCGAACGGGUGAGUAACACAUCGGAACGUACCCUGUCGUGGGGGAUAACUAUCCGAAAGGAUAGCUAAUACCGCAUACGACCUGCGGGUGAAAGCGGGGGAUCGCAAGACCUCGCGCGAUAGGAGCGGCAGAUGUCGGAUUAGCUAGUUGGUGGGGUAAAGGCUCACCAAGGCGACGAUCCGUAGCUGGUCUGAGAGGAUGAUCAGCCACGCUGGGACUGAGACACGGCCCAGACUCCUACGGGAGGCAGCAGUGGGGAAUUUUGGACAAUGGGGGCAACCCUGAUCCAGCCAUUCCGCGUGAGUGAAGAAGGCCUUCGGGUUGUAAAGCUCUUUCGGCAGGAACGAAACGGGGGUGGUUAAUACCCAUCCUUAAUGACGGUACCUGAAGAAGAAGCACCGGCUAACUACGUGCCAGCAGCCGCUGUAACAC